UUUUUUUUUUUUUUUUGGUGAUUUAGCCUUUUCUAUUUGCCUAUCUAUUUAUAUGCAAUAUAAUUUUUUUUACAAUUUGAUUAAUGUUACUCAAAGGGUAACGUUACCCUACUAUGUAGCACAUAAUAUUAUUUCGAUGUGUUGGAUAGUAUAAAAAAAAAAAAUGAAAAUGUGGAAAAACCAAAUAAGUAUACUAAUUUUUAUUCAUCAGGUAUUAACAUUUCAUUUGCCUCCUAAAACUCCUCCAAAUUAACAUAGAUAUGAGAUUGUUAAUGCAAAUUCAAAAUAAAAUCAAGUAUGAAAUUACUAAUUUCAUUGGCUAAUUUUGUCAUUACACCAAUGAAAUUUCUGAAAAGGACAUGUAUCCCAAAACGGGUUUCCCAGAAGCUACAUUACAAUAUGAAAUUUUCAAAAAAGAUCUAAGAUACCCUACAGUUGAUAAGCACAAUUAAAGAAAGAAUGGACUCCUUAGGUCACUUUCCAAGAACAGUAUCCUUUCUUUUUGGAAGACUUCACAUUUUCAAUAAUUUUAUCUCUCAAGUUUUGGAGACUUUGAAAUAUUUUCUUGAGCUUCAAGGGGGCCUGUAUCCAGACUUCUUCUAGACGUCAAGUUCACAUUUAUUUAUAUAUAUUUCUAUUUAUUUAAAAUCUGGGUUUCAUUUAGGCCCUAUGUUUAGGAUAAUGAUGCAAUUGAAUAAAUCACCAUAAAUAAACAAUUUUGCUCUCUUCAUUUGCUUGGCAAUUAUUAUUAUUUUUUUAUUGUAAUAAUAUAAUAAAUUUAAAUUGGAAGAAGUCGUUUUAUUUCCAAUUUUCAUACAUUACUUAGGGUUGGCAGCAAUUUAUGAUUAUCACAAAAUCAAUUCACAUGAACCCUGAUGCUGUAUAAAGAAACAUGGAUCAGAGUUUUAAAAAGAAUACAAUUAAAUAAAAAAAAAAGGUUUUUAUUUUUCUUUUUAGUAAAUUAACAAUUGUUUUCUCGUUUGAAUCAAGAAUCGUAUAAUUCAUUUACAAUGCAAUACAUUUCUAUUGACAUAACCGUUUACUUGUUUGUUUAUAUAUAUUUCCUUUUUAAAUCAUAUAAAUGAAAACAUGCUCAUGAAAAAUGAAACAAAAUUGAUUGUUGAAAAAAGAAAACACUAAUAAAAAGGGAUAAUAACGAGAUUGUCCCUUAAUGCUAUGAAACCUGAAAAUUUAAUUAAUCCAAGAACCUGUGAAGUUCCUUCAGUUACUAUUCCUAAAAUACUCUGUUUUUUCAAUUUCGUCCAAACAAUACUCAUCCCCGCAAUGAGUAGUAUUGCUGACUUUCCUUUCAACUUGGCUCGUUUUAUCAAGAACCGAGACAAAUAUUUUAAAUAUUUUCAACAUUUCAGGAUAGAAGUUAUACAUUACUUAUUUAACAAUAUUUUUUCGAAAAAAUUUCGUACCGUCCUAAAUAUUAUAGGACUUAUUACACCUCUAAAAUUAUAAAUUUUGAAUAAUAUUGCAUGGUAACAACAUGUUUUAGAGUUUUUGAUUUUUAUAUGUAAACUAAUUAUUUGACACAUGAUUAAUAUAACUUUUGAAAUAAUAAUUUUCACUUAUUUUAGUUAUGUAAUAAAUGUUUAAUCGAUUUAAUUUUUGAAAUUGAACCAUUUAAUAGAAUAAUUUUAUAAAUUAAAAUAUAUAAUAAGUGUAUUUUAUAAGUUGAAAUGAUUAUAUUCAGAAUAAAAAUUGAGAAUGCCUCGAAUUUAAUAAGAUAUCAUGCAUCUUAUAAUUAAUGUAAAGAUUUUAAAUUAAAAUUUUAUUUUUCAUCUUUUAUUUUCAUUAAGGCUACAUUUUCAAAAAAUAAUUUACAUUGAAAAAUGUGUCUUCAUUUCACACUUAAAACAGUUCAAAUAAUUUAUUUUCUAUUAUUUAGUUACAACAUUAAAAAUAAUAAGAUUACUAGUUGUAAUUAGCAGCAAUUGAUAAUAGUGAGUAUCAUUGAUAAAGAGAGUAAUAUAAAUUUGUGUUUAUAAGGUUUUAAUAAAUUUAUAAUUUUUUUUUUCCUGAAAAAGAGGUAUCAUUUUUCUUUAAAAUAACUUAAUUUUCAUUUGACAACCAAAAUAUUUUUCACUUUCACUAUACUAUUUUCUUAAUCACUCCUAAACAUCUAAAUAUUUUUGUUGGAAAAUAGCAGAGGUUAAUGAAUAAUAAUAAUUAAAAAAGAAAAAAAAAAGAGUGGUUGGUCUAUUGCCCAAGAAAACAAGUCAUCCUCUAUUUUCCAGGAAAUAAAAGCAAAGUUAAGCCAACGGCAAUACAACCGCAAAGCUGAUUUGUCCUGAUCAUGGGAAGAAACGGAAAUAUCAACAUCGUCCACGUGAGAUGAUAAAUGGACAAGGCCCAACCCAAUCUUCACUCCCAGACAAAAUUGAGAUCAUACUCUGACGUCACUCAACAUUUCCCCUCUGACCUGGCCGCCUUGGUAGUUGCUUCAAUUGACCCACGUGUGAUUUUGGCCCAUUUAUGGCCCACACCAACGCUAAAGGGAAUUAAAAGUGCAACUCAUCUCCUAUUCUUUUACCUUCACGUUUUUUUACCCUUCUCAGUAAUUUUAAUACUUCCGUAACUGUAAAAUCCUACUUCUCUAUCUUCUUUGCUGCGAAUAUAAAAGGGAUACCAGGCUUCCAUUUUUGUAUACCUCAGGCUCAGGCUCAGUAUGCACUUCUAAAAGCAUACCAAACAGUCAACCAACUAAACAUUCCAAAUCUCGUUACCAGAUUCACAUGGAUUCCUCAAAUUUUUACUCUCCCAAUUCUGAUUUCUCAUCGGAAUCUUCUUUCGGAUCGCCGGAAUCCUUCUAUAGCCCAUCGUUUAACCAAGAUUCUCUCCCUUUCAAUGAAAAUGAUUCCGAAGAAAUGCUUUUGUAUGGACUAAUUUCAGAGGCAACGCAAGAAACGUCAAAAAUGGAUUAUUCGAACAAAAAAAUCAAAGAAGAGGAGGUGAGUUCAAUAAUAAAACAAAACACAAAGAAGGAAAGCAAAUCCUUCAGAGGUGUAAGGAGGCGGCCAUGGGGAAAAUUCGCGGCGGAGAUAAGAGAUUCAACUAGGCAUGGAAUAAGAGUAUGGUUAGGGACAUUUGAUAGCGCAGAGGCAGCUGCUUUAGCUUACGAUCAAGCUGCUUUUUCAAUGAGAGGAGCUGGGGCUGUACUGAAUUUUCCAGUUGAAAGAGUAAAAGAGUCACUUGAGGAUAUGAAAUACAGCCAUGAAGAAGAUGGCUGCUCACCUGUUGUAGCUCUUAAAAGAAAACAUACUAUGAGAAGGAAAAUUAUGAGCAGAGCCAAGAAAGAAAACGUCGUCGUUUUGGAAGAUUUAGGUCCUGAUUACUUGGAGCAGCUUCUUUCUUCCUCUGAAAAUGCUACACCUUGGUCAACCAAGUUCAUCUAGACUUAUUUGCUUCAUCUUUAUCUUUUUGUCUCACGUCAUUGCAAUGGUUGGAGAAACGAUUGUUUUUUUGAAUUUAGGUGUGUACCUUGAUAUCUUUUUUUUUUUUUUUUCCCUUGUAAAGUUUAUAGGGAUUUACUAAUUAAAUAUUGUAGUAAUUAAUCUUGUGAGUUUCAAUCACUGAUUUAAGUAUCAAUUCACAAGUUCCAUCUUCAUGUUGGAAACAGAGGACUCUGUAAAUUAAACAGAGUUGCACCACUGUAAUGACAGGACACAAUAGAGAAGCACAACUGCUUCACGUAAUUGCAAGUUUGCAACUAUAAAACAUUAUUGCUUGAUUUUAUGGAAAUCACCCAAAAAUAUAAUUGACCAUUUCAUUUCUAAUAACACUUCUUUACCCUCAUGACUCGUUUCAUAUCAGUGACGGUGCCCGUCCAUGCAAUGGCAUUUUAGAAAAUCUCAUGCAUGUUUUUUUUUAUCGUUGUACUUUAUUUUAAAUUUUUAUUGCACAAAUGUGCAUGAUCUAAUGAUAAGUACGUGUACUAUUUGGGUAUAAUUUAAGUUCAAUUUUUUCAAUAAAAAUUAUGUUUGGUUUUUUUUUUUUUAAUAUUAAGAAAUGAACGACGAGAUUUUACGACGGUGAGAUUUCAAUCUAUAUUCACUUUUAUAUAAUUUUAUUUUUACCGCUAAACUAAGAUACUCAUUAUAUUUAAAUAUUAAUACCAACAAGUGUACAAGUAUUGAGUAAUAUUUUGAAUUUUAUUUACAAAAACAAGUAGAGUAUGUUAUAUGAUAAUUUUGAAAUAACUAUUGUAGUUUUAAUAGAAAUAUUUUUAAAGAAUUAUUUUUGUAAAUAGUGAUGAAUAGGUUCUGAUAUCUAAUAUUGCCAUUUUCUUUUAACAAUUUUAGAAUAGUUUUUACUCUGUAAGUUCGAACUUCUUAAUUAUAUCUGUGAACUUUCAACUAUCUUUUUCAAGGAGAAUAGGCUAAAAAUACAUGAAAGAGUAGCUUUUUCUUUUUUACGGAAAUUUGUAAUAAUACUAUUCUAGAAAGAUAGACUUUGUGUUUGACAAGUAAGUAGAAACUUCUUGUUUAUUUACUUAUUAUUAUUAAUUACUACUAGUUAUUGUAAAUCCAUAUCCAACGUGCUACCAACUCUAGAAAUUCAAGAAUAUUAGUAAGAAGCUCUUGAAAAAUCAAUAUGCACAUGUUAAAUUGAACAAAAAAACAUAUAAGAAAAUUCUUGUUUUUCAGGAAGCAAACAAUUCUCUCUUGUAGUUACUUGUGAGACAAUAUAAGAAAUACGACCAAGAAAAAAAAAGUAUUGUAAUGGAAAAUAAAAAUAGUGCAUAUAGCAAAGUUAUUAAAUAAAUAAAUAAAGAAUUAGAAGCAAAAUACACUACUAGAAAUGGGUAAACCGAAAACAUAUUGAAAAGAAAGAGAAAUGGAAAAAAAAAAAAAAAAAAAGAAAUAACUAAUUAUUAUUAAUUUAAUAAAUAAAAAAACAAAGAAGCAAAACCGAAAUUGGCGGGCUGUAAAGAGUUAAGAGUGUUGGUAACCUUGAAAAGACUAAUAAAGAAAUAUUUCAGAAUUGGUCUUUAGCGUAGGCUUUGUUUGUCUCAUUCAUUUCAUUGAUUCAAUUCAAUCAAUUUGAAAAUUACUAUUUGGGUCCAAUUUCAAUCCAAACGAAUCUUCUCUUUGUUUCCAAUUAGGUUUUGUUUAUCCUGUGGUUGGAAUUGGACUGAUAUUUGCCAGAUGAGACCCCUCUAUCCUGCAAUUUUAUUUUUUAAAAGAUUAUUCUAUUCCAUUGAAAAGCAAAAGAUAAUGAAAAUGUUGAAUCUUAAUUAAACAAUACAACAAAAGUUGAAUAUUAUUAUUUUUCACUCCAAGUAUUAAAAAAUGAAAGAUUCAUAUCUUUUAUGCUUUUUGAAUUCAAAAUUGAAUGUUCAUAAUCUACAUUACCAUUUUUUGUGCUUUAAAUUUCAUAAUCUAAUGAAGAUUAAGUCCUUAGAGAGUUAUACACUUACCAAUGUCUUUAUUUAUGUAUAGGAAUCUUUUAAUAAGAAGGAUGUUGUUCUAAAUUUUGAUGUUAUAUGAUAAAUUUUCAAUUUUUUUUUUUCAUUCCUGCCAUCAAUGAUAUCCUUAAUUCAAUUUAGAUAUUGGAUAUUAAAUUUCUUUUCAUGGUUAAUUUCAAAAAAUGUAUUCUCUAUGUUGAUAUAAUGUAUUCAAAAAUAUUAUUUAUUUUUUUAGAGUUUUUGAACCAAAGAGUACAAACAAAUUACAAAUUAUUUGAUUCGAGAUUAGAAUUCAUGAAGAAAUAUUUUGACUUUUUUAGACUUGAGAUUAACAUCCAAUUGACAUUCGAAAUUUAAAAUUUAAUUAGAUCCUUGUUAAUUAUAAUGGGAGGAGUAAUUGACUGGAAUAAAUAAAAUCAAUUCACGAAGAAAAAAAUUUAAGACUUGGACCAACUAUUGCUAAAAAUAUUAAAAAAAAAAAAACCAUUUUAGACUUUUUAUUUUAUGGUAGAUAAUUAACUUUUCACUCUCUUAUGCCCUUUGUAUAAUGUGACAUUCUAACACAUUUAAUACUCUCUAUUAGAUUUGAAUUUCUUUUAAAAAAAAAAAAACUCCAUUAUUUGUUGAAUUUAUUUAUUCAUUUUUUUUUUAUAAAAAUUUUUAAAAAACUUAUAACUCCUAUCUUUAGUAAAUGGAGGUCGAAACAUGAUACUCUAUAUUAAUUGCUAAUAAAAAAAAAAAAUCACUAUCAAUUUGAUUUGAAGUAAAAUAAUUAUUGAAAGGAUAGAAUCCUAAGGGUAUGCCAUUAAUUCAAAGGAAAUGGCAAGAACCUUCUAAUUAAGGUCAUAGUUCAGUCGUCAAAUAAGUUAGUUACUGGUGAUAGAUUUGGAAAGAAUUUUUGGUUUUAAUAUCAAUUUAUGUCAUUUUCUGUACAAAUUUUACAAAAUUAAAUUGGGCCAACUGCCAACUAUAGUCAAUUCAAAAAGAGUGUAUAAUAUAAACUAUACUGUAUAUGCUUGCGUAUAGUAUUUCAAUACAUGUACCUAAGUGCUGAUAUAGACUAUACUUUAUGCAUAAAUUACGAAAAUGCAGUUAAAUAAAAAAAAAAAAUUAGAAAGGGAAAAAAAAAUAUUUUGGAGUAAUUAAGGAAUAAAUAAUUAUAUAUGUCACGUGAAUUUUGAUUGUUCCAAUUUGGUAAUACAAUCCAAGAUUAAAAGUCUUGGUGGUCAAUGUUUAAAUGUUUUGUUUAGUCAAUUCAAAGGCUAUUUAUUUUGAAAAUAUUUAUUAAUGCAAUCUAUAAAGUGUAAUAAAUAUAGUGGCAAAUCAUGAUUUUCAUUUGAUCGAUAAAGAUAAAGACAUAUCACUUUCAAUCCUAAGUGGUUAACUGAACUUGGUCACACAUGUUCGUGAUAGACUUUUAUUUAUUUAACAUUAUUAAUAAAUCAAAUUAAAAGAAUCUAUAUUCCAACUCAUACCACCAUAUGAAUAUGCAUAAUCAGCUUUUCCUUCUGUUUAAUGUUUCUAAUUAACAUAUACUUUGGAUCCACUAAUCCGCAUAUUAUACAUAUGUUGUCAAAUUAACAUGAAUCGGAAGUCUCACCUAAUUUAUUUAUUUAUGAAUUAUUAUAUUUAGUUUAAUGAUGUUAUAAAUUAUUAUUAUUGCAUAUAACUCUAAAUUUAAAAAUUUGUAUAGGGAUAGAAAUAUAGGAUAUUCUUUUGAAAGAGAAUCUCCAAGAAAAUUGUGGGUCCUACCUUAUCAAAGAGAAAGAAAUUGGUGCAAUGUAAAGUUCUUUGUACUUGUCUUGUCUACUGUCUGUGUAUUCUUCUGCCUGUCUACCAAAAUUUAAAUGCGUAUGGGUUUUGAUGUUAUGAUGAUUGACAAGUAACUACACUCAACUCUAGUGGAAAAUGAACAUUGUGAAAAAGAAAAUAAUAAUAAAGUGUAAGCUCAGAAUCUUAAAAUGGGAUCUUAAUUACCUUGUGGCCAGCCUUCUAAUUUAAUAAUAUUAGCCCAAAAGAUUAAAACAGACCCAACAGAUAAAAAGGCCCUAAAACUCCUCGUAUUGUCAUGUCGAUUGUGUCCAAUGGGCUUUGGUUCUUUUGGUCCACACAAGUUAAGGUCGUCGGUUUUAUAUACUACUCUGCUUGAAAAGGCAUGGUUUGAGCAAAUAUUUUGCAAGAACAACCAAUGGAAAGCUUUCAUUAGUAAUAAAAACAAGGAAUCAAGAAGUACAAGAUCGAAGAGUUCAAAUAUGUAGAUCAUUUAAUCACACACAAGUAGUUUCUGGUACAGCUCUCCUGAGAGGGCUAGUUCCAUGACAGCCAUAGGAUCAAUGAUUCCACCAUUUUCCAAGAACAAUUUUGCCAAGUUCUUGGAAAACCCACUAACAAGAGCCAUGCCACUUUGAUUUGCUGUAACAGGCGUAUCAGAAGAGUUUCUCAGGUUCCAAAACACAAUCUCUAGGCAUUUUAGUGAAACCUUUCUCCCUAAAUUUCCUCACUAUAGCUUCAUAAUCAGUCUUCCAUCCUUUCAAGAAACGUUGUCUCUGUUUCUCUAUUUUCAUUUCCAUUUCUCCUCCAGAUCGUUCUGAGACAUAAAAUCAUACUCUAUAUCACUAUCCAUAUCUGAACAAUCACUCUCCGUACAGGAGUCAUACAUAUAGCGACUUUUGUAUGCUUUAUGAAACUCCAUGCCGCUAAAAACAAAAAUCCUCUUUAUCAUCCAAUCCUCUUGUAGCCCUCCAUCAACAGCAACUUUCAGAAUUCUAUCAAAAACCUCUUGGAGAUCUGCAUUGGUACCCGCUUUCAUUUUCUUUAUAAACUUGGUCUUCUCCCGGAGGCUAUCCCCUUUUGAUGGAGUGAAUUUGAGGAUUUCCACUGAAUGCGGUAACUUUGCCCUUCCAUGGUUCCUCACUAAGCUCUGAAAUCAACAACCCAAGUGCAACGCAAACCUCCAUAGGAGUCCCAUCCAUUCUUCCUGAGACAUCACAUACAGUGAUGCAAUUAUUCAAUUUUCCAUUUUCUGACAUAUCUUCCACCAUCCUCGCCCAUUGCAGCUCUGCAACUUUCCCUUCGUCUACAUCCUUCAAAGAAGCAAUUAUCUCAUGAGGGAGAAGAGCACCAGCAGCAAUCUUAGCAUCUCCACGCUUAAGAUCCUCCAAAUAUGCGUUAAACCGCUCAUUAUCAUGCCUCAAGAAAUGUUCCUUGUAAUUUUUCAUGGCUACAGAAGGAACCCUAUCGUAAGGGAGGGUCUCCCACCUAUUAGAACUCGUAUACACCUCAGGUAAAUCAAGAACCUGAUGUAAAGGGACAUGUACUUCCUUCCUCAACCUAUCCCGAAUCCUAUAUACAUAAUGUGCCUCCUCAAUUCCCUCGUAUUCAGGGGAGGACUCUCUAGGGAAAAUCCUCCUUGCAAUAUUCUCGCAUGUCAAUAUAGCUCGAUCAUAAGAUGAAUUAUUAGAAGGACACCACUUUGAAGCAAGACUAAUCUUGUAAAUCUCACCAGAAUUCAGAAACUGCAAAUCUUGCUUUAAAGUAUCUGCAAACAGCUCAGCUACACUAUCAUGCAAAAAUCUAUAAACAGGAUCUCUAGUAUACCUCUCAAAAGCAUUUUUUGCUCGGUCUAGAUGCUUCUCCUUCCUCAAGGUCCUCGCUUGAGCUUUAAGGUUGGCAACCCUCACUUCUUUUGGCAGUGUUGCCUCUGGUUCAGGCUUAUAUUCGAGUGAAGUAUUGGGUGAGUAUUUCCUACUAUUUCUUCCCACCCUUGAAUGCAUCCUUGCCGCCUUUGCAGCGCGUUUCUUGGCAAACAAACUACGUUUUCUCGAAACCCCUUUAUUUGCUUUCUUCACUUGCCAUUCAUCUCUUUCUUUCCGUCUCACAUUCUCUCCUUCUAGCAACCUAUACAAUAUCUCCAGCAAAUCCUUUUAGUAUCCAAACUCUGCCAAAAUCUUCGCGUUGCAAGCUAGGGUUUUUGGGUGGUUUUUGUGCAACCAUAAAGCAGCAGUGUAAAACUGCUCCUUAUCCGACUUCCCUGUGCCCCUAACUCCCCUUAGAUUACAAACAAGCUUCAACGUCGUUAAUGGAUCACAAGCCCAAUCGUUUAUAAGCCGCUAUCAAUGAACUCUAGCGUAUCGGGCACCACGUGGAAGAAAAAGUCAAGGCAAGGGUUUCCAGAGUCCACGUACGUAAGGGAUUUGUUCUCCCUGAAGCCAGAUGUAGGGAGGGUGGUGCUUCCUAGGCGGAUAUUUCCGAUUUUUUAAUGGAAGGCGGACAAGGUCAUGUCGCCAUCAAUAUCGACGGAGAUGGAGGGGAGAUUGGAAUAGAUCCCCGGUGGGCCAACAAGAAGAGAAUCGAAGGCCAUUGUAGAUGAGGAAUUUUGAGAAGAGAAGAUAGUAGAUGGGUUUUCAAAGGUUCUGCGAUCUGGGGCUUUUUAUACAGAAGAUAAUACUAGGAGAGCAAGUAGGGGUUCAGAUUCAGUGUUGCCAUUUCACCGUAUUUUAAGUGAUCCUUUUUUUUCUUUAAAAAAAAAAAAAGAAAAGAAAAAAAUGGUUUGAAGUUUGAACGGUAUUAUUUCCCAUCUUGGCUGAACAAAAAGAUAAUGACUCAAAUAUCUCUGCUCUUAGCUAGAGUUUUACACAAAUUUGAAUAUAUUCUAGGAGCUAUUGCCUUCCCAUGGUGAUUGACUGAUGGACGUUGGGGAUAGACAUGGUGGUCUAUUCUCGUUUCAAAUUCAAAACUGCAGAAAAAUGUUGCUUAAGUAAGGCUUCUACUUCUCUCGGAGAAUAUCUAUAUGUUGUUUCAUUUUGUUAUUUAAAAGGAUUGAUCGGAUUUGGUUUACUUACAAUUGCUAAUUACUGGAACGAAUUGAAUUAGGUGUUGAUUGUGUACAAACAUUCCUCCCAUCAAUGUCAGUGAUUUUAUGCAAUUCUUAUCUUAUUAACCAACUGGAAACGGAAUUCGGAAUUUGAUCACUAAUGGGCUUUCCGGAGCCCUAAUUGUUAGUUUAUUUUGUUCUUUUUUAUUCUCCUCAUGAAUUGGAACGGCAAUUUUGAUUUGGAUGUUGUUUCUGCUUCUGUUGAAAUGAUAAUUCAUAUAUAAUUGUAAGCUACUCAAGCAGCAAUAAUCCUUUUUAUUAGGAAUUCAGGAAUUGUUAUUCUUACUUACUGAAUAUUUCGCAGGAGACUGACGGUGUCUAAUAGAACGAGCAAUACAAUAACAAUUCAGAAUUGGUGCACCAGUACUUCAAUUUAAUGAUUGCUUUAUCAGUUAAUGAAAUAAGGAAAAAAAAAAAACUUCGUCCAGCAUUGACUUAUGCAACUGAAGAUUUUUAUGUAUAAUGCCAUGAGAAAUGAGAUUGGUUAUAGUUUGUUAGAGAUAUGGAAGGAUAAAACAAAUUGUGCAAUCAGCAGGUUGUUUUCUUCCAACCAUACAUUGAAACUAUGGUGGGAUUUAUGAUAGGAGUAAUGGGCUUAUUUCAUUAAAUUACUGCAUAUUUUCAAUCACAUGCUUGUAUGUGAACUUGGAAUUAUACCUGAUAGGUAAACUAUAAAGCUUUUGGUGUAAAUUAUUAUAAAUUUAUGAUUCGCAAUGGAUGGUAGUCUUGGUGUCAUGAUAAGGUUGUUUACUUUGCAUCAGAAAUGACAGGUUAAAAAACAGCCUCAUUGCAAGGCCAGGAAAUUUUACAAGCGUUUCUAUAUUAAGAAGGAAUAGCAUGGCAUGGCCUCAUGGACUGGAAGCAGUCUACUCUUACUCGCUCUGAAUCACAGAAAGAGCAGGUAAUGUCUCUUGAGUUAUGGAAACCUAGCAAUAUGAUUGAUUAAUACUGGCUUAAAAAUCAUUAGCACUAACCAAAAAGAACUCUUGAUCGCAGUUGGGUCAAAUCGAGGAAGAAGUGGAAUGAUAUGGAUAUUAAUCUCAUUAGUUACAGUUAAAUGUUAAGAGUUUCAAAUGCUUGACAUGUGAAACGAACAAGCUUGUUAACUCAUAGUGGAAUAGCGUGUUUUUUUUGGUCCUUUGGUUCAUCAGCUCUGAGUUUUCAAUCCAUGACCUUGCUUAAGACUUUCUUUAGUGUAUGUACCAGGUAAGCUAAGUUACGCCUAUUGGUUAAUGGUUAGGAUCAAAGACAAUUACUACCUCCAGAGUGACUUCAAUAUUCUUUCCUUGUAGAAGCAGUCAAAUAUCUUGGUGAAAGUUAGCUGGAUAGACUAUCCAGCUAAUUGGAUACGAGGUGUUGGGAUUUUCUUUAACCUUAGCAGGUAGACUAGACUUUUGAAAAAAGGUUGGGGAACAUGACUUAACACACAAAAUCAAUAUUACCGACUAGCCAAUCAGAUCAUCACAUAUUAAUUAAUGUUGUUAAAGGUUUAUUAGGUAAGUCAAUUGCGUUAGAUCUUUUAGGCCCUCUUCCCUUAAGCUCAUAAUUGAACAUUUAGUUGAAAUUUGAUAAUAGGAGCUUUGCGGACAGGACUUUUCCAUUCGUAUACAAUAGUGUCUCCAAUAGUUAUGCUGGAGCUAUUUAGCAAGUAAAAAAUAGCGUGUCAAACAUCAAAAUAAGAAAUCUAUAUAUAUAAGAAAUUUCAAACCACCGACAGUUGCUGCUUUACAUGCUAGAACAUAGAUAUAUAUGCUCAUCAAUUACAAUGGACAAGCAAAGAACAAUAAGAAAGAAGAUAAGCAUUCCUUGCUUGUAGUAACUGGUGUAUGAGACAUACGAGAUGUGAUAAUAACUUGAAGCAGCGCUUAUUUAAGCUACUAAGACAUCCAAAUUAAUUUAAAUCAGUUGUUUGGAUGGAUAGGAGAUGGGGGCUUGUGGGGUGGCUCAUAUUGUGGUUUAGGUGGUUCAAUUUGAGGAGUUGGGAGGAGGAAAUCUUUUGUUCGGAGGCUUGUAAUAUUCUGCAUUUUCUACUGGAGGAUGUCCUGGAUAGUGGCCAUAAGGUGGCACUGGCUUGUGGAUAGGGGGAGGUAUAGUUGGUGGCUUGUGUUCAGGGAAUGGCUUCUCUACCUUAGGUGGCUUGUAAACUGGUGGUUUCUCUACCUUAGGGUGCUUGUAAACUGGUGGUUUCUCUACCUUAGGGGGCUUGUAAACAGGUGGUUUCUCUACCUUAGGGUGUACUUGAAAACUGGUGGUUUCUCUACCUUAGGGUGCUUGUAAACUGGUGGGUAAGGUAUUGGAGGCUUGUAUACUGGUGGUGUGAAGGUGGAAGGGCUGUAACCAGAUUCGUCUGGCUUAGAACGUUCAUAUUUGGCAGAAAGAGAGGGAGUGGCUAAAACAGCUACUCCAAGGAGGAGUAUUAAAAAGAAAGUGUGCAUCCUUAGGCUUUUGAUGGUGCUGCUGCAUGAUAAAAGAAGAACGAGGACCCGUUUAUAGUGGUUUGAAGACUUUGCCAGAGGGUACAUAUGUCAUUCUUUUGUUCAUUCUAUUUGUCACUUUGCAAAAAAGUCAAACUAAGUUUCUAAUUUUUAGUUGAGGCUUAAAUGUGAUUGUUACAUUUGGGUCCUAUUGAGUGAGCAAAAUUGGAAAAUUGGGCAAAGGCUCUGUACUCUUGUGGAGGAAACGUUUAGAAGAUCUUACUGUUGUUGAUCUUUCGCUUUCUUUGCAAUUAAGCUAAGAUGUUACACAGUUUUAGGAUGAAGCUGGUUUAGAUAAUUACUUGCAUUAACUGCAACUGCUUUAGAUUUAUUUAUAGAAAUAGUAGCAGAUUACAUUACAUAUGAACAGUCUUUAAUCCUGUUUUCCCCGCAAUGACACCCUAAUCUUUUUUUCUCUUUUGACAUUGGUCAUGACUAUUACAUUUUUAAACUUCUUCAUUUAUUUUAUGCAUUGUAGCAUAGAAGACUGAAAGUUGUUGAUGGAAUUGGGGAAGGUUCAGGACUUAACCGCUUGUGUUGCCAGGACUUAAGCCGGGCUCGUCAGUGGUAUAGUAAGAUCAUCAAAAUCUUCUCCUUUUUCGAAAAAAAAAAAAAGUGUGAACACACAACUUCUUUGUUCUGUGUUUAUUUUCUCAGCCAAUCUUAUUAUCCCAUAUUGAUUCAGGAUUAAGGUCUUAAGUCAACAUGUAAAACUUGAGCGAUUUCUCCUCCCCUUGAGCUACCUUAUGGAGAGUAAGUUAAGCUUGGUUAACAUGUUAUCAGAGACUACCGAAAAAGCCCAGUGCCAUUGUAGUUGCAUGCGAAUGCUUACUAAUAGUACCUAGUUUUAAAGCCAAUUUCAACGAUAGUGUUUAUGGUUUUACAUGCUCUAUGCUCUCGCUAAUCGAUGUCAUAUAGGCAUAUUUGUUCACAGUUAACGAAUCACUUCACUUUUACAUCCUUUGUAUAAUACAUAACUAAUCUUAUAAUAGUUGAACAAUCUUUGAAUAAUGCAUGUCCGAUAGAAUUUUGACCAACCAACCGAAGCAGAAUAUGUAAAUGACUAUAUAUAUAUAUAUAUAUAUAUAUAUAUAUAUAUGCACUGACUACUGUGCUUUACGUAAGGAUAAAUAAAAAGACAUGCCCAUCGGCUAUUAUUGACGUGCAAUAGUGCAAUUAUAGUAUGAGUUAAAUAGAGAAAAGGCAGAAUGACUGCAUAUAAGCUCUUAUUUCUAGUUUCUGAUAGUCUCUCUAUAUCAGCACUAACUCAUCAGUAGGCACGAAUCGGUGGAGGUGCCUUGUAGUGUGGACUAGGUGGCUUCUUAUGUGGCAUCGGAGAAGGCGUUAUCUUCCUUGGUGGCUUGUGAGGGCCUUCACCACCUUCCAUUGGAGGGUGUGCUGAAAAUUGACCAUGAGGUGGUAAUGGCUCAUGUUCUGGCGGCAAAAAUCCUGGUUUGGGAGGUAGAGUUGGUGGCUUGUGUUCUGGGAAUCCCUUGGAUACUUUGGGAGGUUCAGCUGGGGUUAAUGGCUUCUGUUUUCCUGGUUCAUGAACUGGCAUUGGUGGCUUGGGCUCAGGGAUUGGCUUCUCCAGCUUAGGAGGAGGUUUAUGAACUGGCAUUGGUGGCUUGUGCUCAGGGGCAGGCUUGGGGCUAAAAGCAGGUGGAAAGUGCUCAAAGUGAGAUGGCUUGUGGUGAUCGGCCAAGGAAGGAGUGGCCAGAGCCACCACACCAAUUAGCAACACUAGCAGGUAUGUGUUAGACAUUUUGAUGCUUUGAUGGUUUAAAAGUAGAAGAAUCAAUGCCCUUUUAUAAUGGUUUGGCACCUACAUUGGCAAAAGGUGUCCCAAAAUUAUUCGUUUUGCUUCAUACACAGUCUGCGAAAUGUCAAAAUAAAACUCCGCUGAUUUUUGGGUUAGGAGGCUCCACUGAGACUAUGCCAGUUGAAAAACUGGAAAAAUUAGGCAAGUUGAUGAUUCCAAAAUAGAGAGAAGGAUUGAGAAGCAAGGUUCUUUUUUCCUCCAUGAUUUCGCAAAUGUCAACUUUCACAACGAAUAUAUUUGAAAAAAUGCAUUCCUAAGUGCAUAAAUUGAAGAAAUUUAUCUUCAGUUUGUUUUUUAAUUUCGAAAAAAAUUGAUUAAAAGAUUGGCCCUUUACGCGUUUUCUUAAUUGGCGGCUGAUAGGUGUGCGGAAACAUAUGAAACUACUACCAUUAACGGUAUAAACUGAAAUUUUUGAAGGGUAAGUUUUCCCUUCUUCCUCUUUUUCUUCUUUCUUUGUUUGUAUCCACUGACCUAAGAGACAAAUGUAGAAUUAUUAUUUAUUUAUUUAUUUAUGUUCAUUAACCAUCCAUUUUUUGCCAUCUAAACUGUUUUCUAAAUUAUUCUAUAAUAAUCCCUCUUUUUUUCCUUUUGAUUUUUUCCCAAAUUAUUUACACAUUAAUUUCAAUUUAAUUAAAUUAUUACUUGCCAUUUAUUAUGAUAUGUUAAAACUUGUAUUAUUUUCAGUUAUUAUAAUCAUUUUUUUUAACUUGUAACUCUUUCGUAAUCAUUUAUUAACUAUAUUUGAAUUGACACUGGUAUUUUAAUUUUAAGAAAAUAUUCAAUUAAUUUAAUUAAUUUUUCUAAACAUAUAAUAAUAAAUUGUUAAUUAUUACUAAUCUUAUUUUAUUAUGUUGGUUUUAAGAUAAAAACCGCAGUGCAAGCAUGGUGGCCAUUUAGGUGUUGAUGGAUUGGUGGGCAUGGUGGCUCUGUUGUGGUGUAUGGCUCGCCUGGUGGUUGUCUUGGCUCAUAUCUAGGAGGCGCUACGAGCUUGCCUCCAGGUGGAAGUGCAAUCUCGUUCUCAAGAGGCAGUGUGGGCUCACCUCUAAGGGAAGGUGACGGCUCAUUUUCAAGAGGCAAUGUGGAGUACCUAGGGUUGUUUAAAUAGUUGCUACGGCUUGAAAUUGAACCGAACCAGGAGAAAAUCAAAUAAAUCUUAGAUUUUAAAAUGAAAAUUGAAUCAAACAGAGAAGCGUAUACAAAUGGAAUCAAAUCGAUUUGGUUCAAUCAUUUUUCAGUUAUUUUUUAUUGUUUUAGACUAGAUUGUUUUCUGUGUUCCAUAAAAACCGAACUGAACCAAACUGGUUGGCUUCAAAUAUUGCGCCAAGUUUUUGACAUGAUUUUGAAGUUGCAUUUGUUGUUAACUUCAACAAUGUUGGAGCCAUUUGGUUGCAAUUUGCAAAUAUAGCGUUAUUUUAAAAUUUAUGAUUUUGAAGUCCCUUUCCUCUUAGCAGAUUUCUACCUUUUCAUUUUAUUUUUAAAUUUAUGAGUGAUGUUAUUAUUUAUGUUCUUAAUACUAGGUUUCUACUAAGUCUGAAUUAUUGCAAUGGAGUUAUUUAUUCAUUUAUUUGUUUCUGCUUGACUACUUUUAUUUCUGUAACCAUAUUAGCUGAAAAAUUAUGAAAGAUAGAUAAAUAAUAAAACAUGCAAAGCAACCCUAGCAUGUGGUUUAUUGGUACUUAGAUUUUCAGUACACCAGCAAACCUAGCAUGUCGUUUAUUACUUACACUUAUUUCUAUAUAAUAUGAUAGGCCAGCUUUGGAUAUUUGACGGUAUUAGCUGCUGCUUCUGUCCAUAUAAGAUGAAACCUACAAAGUUAUUGGAGGGUCCCCUUUAGGUGGCGGGUGAGCCUGACCUUGAUGAGAUGGUGGUGGACAUGGCUUUUGGCCUUUUGGAGGUGAAACAGGCUCUCCUUUUGAAGGUGGUGGAUUGGGUUUAGGCUGUGAAGGCUGUUCACCUCUGGGUGGUGGACACGGCUUGCCUUUAGAUGGUGGUGGACGCUCACCCUUUUGAGGUGGCUCAGAUUUAGGAGGUUGUGAUGGUGGCGGACGCUGCUGGCCUUUAGAUGGCGGUGGACCCUCUCCCUUUUGGGGUGGCUGUGAUGGUGGAGGACACGGCUUGCCUGUAGAUGGCGGUGGACGCUGGCCUUUUUGGGGUGGCUGUGAUGGUGGCGAAGGCUGCUGGCCUUUAGAUGGCGGUGGACGUUCACCCUUUUGGGGUGGCUGUGAGGGUGAAGGACACGGCUUGCCUGUAGAUGGCGGUGGAUGCUCACCCUUUUGGGGUGGCUGCGAUGGUGGAUGACACGGCUUGCCUUUAGACGGCCGUGGACGCUCACCCUUUUGGGGUGGCUGCGAUGGUGGAGGACACGGCUUGCCUUUAGACGGCGGUGGACGCUCACCUUUUUGGGGUGGUUCAGAUUUAGGAGGCUGUGGUGUUUGCUGCUUACAGCCGGCACAUUGAUGAUGAUCGUUAUUAUUUUCAUCCAUUGAACUUAGGUUUUUGGGUUGAUCAUGGGAGAGGGAUGGGAUGACAAAAACCGUCAAAGCAAUGAAGAAGUAAAGCAGCAGCUUCAUGUAUGGAGUAGACAUUUUUGCACUACAAUGGGUUGCAGAAGGUGUGAUAUAUGUUGGCAAUUUAUAGCUGUUGAAGGUUGUGUGAAAUUGUAAUAUGCUUCAACUCAUAUUUGUUUGAUUCAAGCAAUGUUAAGGUCAUUUGGUUUGUUCAUUCAUAUACGUGUAACCUUUCUUCAGCCAAAUGGCAAUGCAAAUCUAUGUGCAUGCUUUUCUUUCUCUCCUCUCUUGUCCUAAAUGAAGAAUUUACCAUUUUAAGGAGUAUUUUAGUGCUUUCAUUGUAAACUUUUUUUCCUCUUUACUCAUUUUUUUCUGCAUAUAAAUACUUUCCUUUGCUGCAAUUAGCUCAAACGAAAGGCAAAAAAAUAUACAGGAAAUAUACUUUUUUAUUUAAUAUUAUUCAGUUCAAGCAACAUAUUCAGCUAAGCAAAAGCAGCACAAACAACACAAUCCACAAAUUUUAUUUAAGUGGUGGCAUUAUAUACUCUAAGCCCUUAUUUUCACACACGUACCAUGAGACUAUAAUCUUCAUGAUAAGAUAUAAAUACAGGGACCGACAUGAUUAUUUGUUAUCAAUACAUAAAUGGUGGAGCAGAGAUAGGUGUUGGAUAGCUUCGACAUGCAAUUAACACUUUCUAUCCCUCGGAAACUUUACAACACCAGAACAUGGCUGUUUCUGCAACGGAAAUAAUAACUGGUUACCAAAAGAUAACGUUUUUCUUCCAGAAUUAGAGGGAGGCCUUCCACGCGGUGGCCUUCUUGGUGGAAUUCUUGGUGGCCUUCUUGGUGGUAAGAGUUGAGCAUCAAGCGAAGGGGUUAAAGAAAGAAUCAAAGCUCCAACGAGGAACAAUACUAGCAAGUGCUUGAGACUGAGACUCAUUUUUUGAGCUAUUAAUUAGUGAUCUGCAGAAACUUGAGAACUGGAGUGGCCAUUUAUGGUGGAUUGCAGGACUAAUUCGUCAAACCACGGGCCUUUGGAUAGUUGACAUCUGUGUUCAUUAGUCUAAUCACUUUUUGAAACGAUGUAGAAAGCCUGAAAGUUAAUUAGCCACUCCUCCCGAGGGAAAACAAGUGGCCAUUAGGCGAGUACAGCUUAAUCAG
rnacentral:lncRNA from 1 species